rnacentral:lncRNA from 1 species
GGUCUGCCCCACCAAGGGCUGGUUCCCUGAAUUCUUUGGAACAGCUGUAGCAAAACUGGAAUGUGCUACAGCUCUUUGGAGGCUGCAGACCCACUGAAAACGUCACUGAAGAUAUUGCCGGGGCCACUGAUGACUUUAUAACUUCACCAAAGGAAUUAACCUCUAGUUAUUAGUAAGGAGGUUUUGUAUACCAGUGAAACUACUGACAUCACCUGGUCUGAAGGACCCCAUGAAGAGAUGACUCACCAAAGAAUGCAGUUUCCACAUCCUGAUGAUUUCAUCCCCAUUACCUGACAAAACAAUGACCCCAAUUUCCCAGCCCCUCACCCUCCAUGACCCCCUGAAAAACGUCAGCUAGAAACUUCUCGGAGAGAUGGAUUUAAGGGUCUCCUCCCAUCCCCUUGCUUGGUGCCCUGUGAUCAUUACACUCUUUCUCUGCUGCAAACCCUGCUAUCUCUGUACCUGUCUGUCACUGCACAGCAGGCAUAUGAAUCUGUUGGUCCUAUAACAUCGCAACGUAACAUUCCCAUGUGGAGGGGGAUUACACUCCAUGUUCUUAUCACAGCAAAACAUAUGUCACACGUAGCAAUCUAUGUAAGUGUUUGGAAUCAUUUCAGAGCUACAUAACAGGCACCAUUGUGAAAUGCAGGAAACUCUGAAUUUCCAGUUUUGAAAAAAUUGUAUUGGAGCUCUGUCUCUGCUACCCACUAA